AACGCACCAUUCAACUCAGGAACUUUAUCACGUUAAAAUUAACAUGGCAGGAACAAUAUUUCUGUAAUUGUGAAUAGGGCUGAACAAAAUAUUGUUUUAUUAUCUUGAUCAAGAUAUCAACUGGUGCAAUAAAUACAUGGCGAAAGGCUGUGACAUAUUGUGAAAGACAUUAAGAGAUUUUGCGUUAGUAGAAAGAACACAUCAGUAGAAAACUGCACUUUGAAAUAAUGUGACUUCUAGUGGUGC